GUGCUCACUUCAGCAGCACAUAUAUUAAAAUUGGAACACGACAGAGAUGAUGAGCAUGGCCCGUGUGCAAGGAUGACAUGCAAAUUUCUGAAGCGUUCUAUAUUUUA